rnacentral:rRNA from 1 species
CGGGUGAGUAACGCGUGGGUAACCUGCCUUACACAGGGGGAUAACACUUAGAAAUAGGUGCUAAUACCGCAUGAGCGCACAGGACCGCAUGGUCGAGUGUGAAAAACUGAGGUGGUGUAAGAUGGACCCGCGUCUGAUUAGCUAGUUGGUGAGGUAACGGCCCAUCAAGGCGACGAUCAGUAGCCGGCCUGAGAGGGUGGACGGCCACAUUGGGACUGAGACACGGCCCAAACUCCUACGGAAGGCAGCAG